rnacentral:rRNA from 1 species
UACGUAGGGGCCUAGCGUUGUCCGGAAUCAUUGGGCGUAAAGAGCUCGUAGGCGGUUCGGCAAGUCACGUGUGAAAUCUCCACGCUUAACGUGGAGGCGCCACGUGAAGACUGCCGUGACUCGAGUCCGGUAGGGAGUGUGGAAUUCCCGGUGUAGCGGUGAAAUGCGCAGAUAUCGGGAGGAACACCAGUAGCGAAGGCGGCACUCGUGGGCCGGUACUGACGCUGAGGAGCGAAAGCGUGGGAGCGAACAGG